rnacentral:lncRNA from 1 species
UGUCAAGUAGUGAUUUUAUACCAACCAUAAAGGUUGGGAGUGGGGAAUGUUUCUUCUUCAAUACAAGCCACAAAAUGCAGUUGGCCUCGAAUGCCAUGCCUUUAGUAUAAUUAUUCACAUCCGUCUCAAUCCAAAGACAAACACUGUUUUUGGUUUUUGAGAUACGAAUACCAAAUCUGUUGUGUAAUCUUCCUUCCUUGUCUCGUUCUUUCUUUCUUUCUUUCUUCCUUCCUCUAUCAACAAUUGCAUUCAGGAGGAGGAAAGAGAGACGUGAAUCUCUCUCUGGUUCUGAAUUUUUGUUGAAGUAGGUAGCUAGUAGGAAGAAAGAUAAAAAAAACAAGAUGGCAAAGGAGAUUAAGAAAUUGGGGUGUUGGAUGGAUGUUGCUCCACCACCCCUUGUUGUGUACCCACCAUACAAGCCUUCAAAUUCUCCUCCUAGGCUCGAGACAAUCGCCGAAGACUUGAACGAGGAGGAACACGACGAUGAAGAUGAGGAUUCAUAGUUUUCACUUUCUUUCUGGCCUCGUCUCCAUUCUGUAAAUAACCACACCACACCACACCACAAAUUUGUUUGAAAUGUAGAAAUGUUUGAUGUAAAUAAUUAUUAUUUUUGUUUAUAGUUUUUUUUUUUUUUGGAUGUUUUUGCCUCGGUCGUAAAAAAAUAUGUACCCUUCAUAUGUAAAUAUUUCAGCUCCUAAGAAACAAUUAAAGGAGAAUUUUUGAGC